rnacentral:rRNA from 1 species
GCUUAACACAUGCAAGUCGAGCGGUAACAGAGAUAGCUUGCUAUCUGCUGACGAGCGGCGGACGGGUGAGUAACGCGUAGGAAUCUACCUAGUAGUGGGGGACAACAGUUGGAAACGACUGCUAAUACCGCAUACGCCCUAAGGGGGAAAGCAGGGGAUCUUCGGACCUUGCGCUAUUAGAUGAGCCUGCGUCGGAUUAGCUAGUUGGUGGGGUAAUGGCCUACCAAGGCGACGAUCCGUAGCUGGUCUGAGAGGAUGAUCAGCCACACUGGGACUGAGACACGGCCCAGACUCCUACGGGAGGCAGCAGUGGGGAAUAUUGCACAAUGGGCGCAAGCCUGAUGCAGCCAUGCCGCGUGUGUGAAGAAGGCUCUAGGGUUGUAAAGCACUUUCAGAAGGGAGGAA